rnacentral:rRNA from 1 species
AUGAACGCUGGCGGCGCGCCUAACACAUGCAAGUCGAACGAUUAAAGCACCUUCGGGUGUGUAUAAAGUGGCGAACGGCUGAGUAACACGUGGGCAACCUGCCCCUUUCAUUGGGAUAGCCACGGGAAACCGUGGAUAAUACCGAGUACUUCGAGACUUCCGCAUGGAAGACUCGAGAAAGCUCCGGCGGAGAGGGAUGGGCCCGCGGCCUGUUAGCUUGUUGGUGGGGUAACGGCCUACCAAGGCAAUGAUGGGUAGCUGGGUUGAGAGACCGACCAGCCAGAUUGGGACUGAGACACGGCCCAGACUCCUACGGGAGGCAGCAGUGGGGAAUCUUGCACAAUGGGCGAAAGCCUGAUGCAGCGACGCCGCGUGCGGGAUGAAGGCCUUCGGGUUGUAAACCGCUUUCAGCAGGGACGAGGCGAAAGUGACGGUACCUGCAGAAGAAGCCCCGGCUAACUACGUG